UACGAAGGGUGCAAGCGUUAAUCGGAAUUACUGGGCGUAAAGGGUGCGUAGGCGGUUCGUUAAGUCUGUCGUGAAAUCCCCGGGCUCAACCUGGGAAUGGCAAUGGAUACUGGCGGGCUAGAGUGUGUCAGAGGAUGGUGGAAUUCCCGGUGUAGCGGUGAAAUGCGUAGAGAUCGGGAGGAACAUCAGUGGCGAAGGCGGCCAUCUGGGACAACACUGACGCUGAAGCACGAAAGCGUGGGGAGCAAACAGG
rnacentral:rRNA from 1 species